rnacentral:rRNA from 1 species
CUGCACACUGAAAAGCGAAUGAGUACACAUGGGUUCUCGCUACUAUUCAGGUGCGUAAGUCAGACAGGUAGUUGAGCGUCAAUGCUCAUCAUAUCGGUUGUUUUACGCACUGCACUUGGUGGCCUGACGUUCUGCUUGGCUUUGUAACAGCUGCAGCCACAGUGAAGUACACCUCUUCCUUGUGGAGAUGGAUGUGUCACUAGUAGCCUUAUUAUGUUAACAAUAGAGAAAUUCUGUUCGUGGACAGCUGUGUUUACUAGAUGUGAACAUAGUCGUCAGCUGAGACGAAGCUUUGGAUACUCUAAUUCACAUAACCUAAAAGUGGCUGUUUCGUUGAACGUGUUUUUGCACGGGAUAUGAUUCGGUUUCAUCGGUUAUGUGAAUGAUUAAAGCAGAUUGUGUUGUGGCAUCAUUUGAACCGUCUUGAAACACGGGCUAAGGAGUUCAACAGAUGCGCGAGUUUGCUGGUUUUUCGAAACCAUACGGCUAAGUUAACGCGACUUUGUGUAUAAUGGAGAGAACUCACUUACUUUCGAGUAUAAUGAGGUCACCUCCUAUGAUGGAUGGCAUAUCAAGUACCGGUUGCUGUUCGCAGUUGAGCGCAUAUGCUGAGACCCGAAAGAUGGUGAACUAUGCCUGAGUAGGAUGAAGCCGGAGGAAACUCUGGUGGAGGUCCGAAGCGUUUUUGACGUGCAAAUCAAUCGUCAGACUUGGGU